AAGGACACUAGUAGAAAAUGAAGGAAAAAAGGAGACAAUGGGGGAUGAAGGAAAGAAAGAAAGAAAGAAAGGAAAGGCCAAAAUGGAGAAACGAAAGAAGGGCACCAGAAGGAAAGGAAGGACACACAGAAGGACAGAACAAAGGAAUUGAGAUCAGAAACAACAAAGAAUGGAAAAACAAAAGUGAAAGACAAAAAGGGGUAAAAAAGUAAAGGCAGAAGGGAGAAAGGAAGGAAAAAACGAAGGUCAUGAGGAAGGAAAUUAGAAAGUCUAUAAGGAAGAAAGGAAGGAAGGACUGUGGAAGGAAUAGGAGAAAGAAAGGAAGGAACCACACAAGGAAUAAAGCAAACAUUUAUACAAUGUGACCAAGACUACCUGGACAUAGAAAUAUAUUUUCCAUUUAUUUUUUUUUAUUUUUCCAUACUUUAAAUAUGAAUUUCUUACAUUUUUGACUAAUUUAUGGCCUAUUUUAAUAUAAUAUCAAUUUUAUUUUGUAUAUGAUAUGUUUUACAAAGUGCUGCUGAUCUCUUGGCCUGUUCACCCUUGUAAUUGACAUCUCAAUCUCUGUCAGGAUCUGGAUCUACCUGCUGCAAACUUUUCUUCCCACCAGGUGUGGCUGCCAGGAGGAGCUGGACAGGUGUAGCUCAUUGAGUAUUCAGCUGGGCAGUAUAAAGAGGAGGGCUUGCCAGCACUUUGUUGCCUGAGCGUUUUGCCCUUGCACUUUUCAGAUGCUGAUUCUGAGACCGGACCUGAUCAGACCAGAACCAUACAGACUUUGUCGGAAAACUUCCUAAAUCCUGGAUCUAAUCAGCUGGCGAACCCUCCGGAGAGACCUACCUGCUGAGCAAACCCUGUCCACCCUUCCAGCGCACUCCGUUCUGUGUCUCCCUUCCUGCCGCUGAGGACCUAGGCAGGCUGUUUCCACACACUCCAGGCUGCGUGCCCCUCCCGGGCGGACCGCCCCACUCUCUCCACCAGUGGGUUUCCAGUCCCAGAUUUCCCUUUCCUCACCCUCGUAGGCUUGUGAAACAGUAAACCGAUCUUAAGAAUUGUACAUUGUCUCUGGGUGACUCUGCAUGUGGGUCAGGUCGGCAGUAAGCAAUAUGACAAUCUCAAUGGGAUAUGGGUCUCAAUCUGGUUAAUUAAUGGUUAAGACUUAUCCAGACCUAGAAAAUACUGAAAUGAAAUUACAUAUUUAUAUUAUUAUUAUGAACAUUUACAAAUAUAAAUUUGUUAGCGGAGAAUACACUGAUGUGUCAGCAUAGAUAGCACAUUGGAUUAGAAUGAAUGUAUAUUGGCAUUAUACUUCUGCAUAAAUAGGAAGAGAUUGUAUCUGUGAUGUUGCUGGAGGAGUUGUGGAUUAUAGUAAGUCUAUAUUUCUACCUAGUCCCUUUAAUGUUUAUCACUUAGUGUAUUUUCUGUCAUUUUCUUUAAUUGUACUUUACAAUGUUCCAUAAACAUAGAAUCUAAAUCUAUUAUUUAAAGAUGAGAUUAAAAUAUAGGGUUCAGACUUGUCUGAACAAUAGAUUUUAUUUUAAAGAAACCAAUAAGUUUUAAAUUAAGAUGAAAGCCAUCCAUCUGUUUUUCAUGUACACCAUUUGAAGAAAGAACUUUGACAUUUUAACCCUUCUGUCUCUGCUUAUUGAUCCUUCUGUGUGAGCACUUUUGUCGUUCAGGAUGACAGGUGUUGAUAUAGGUGGCUUUCCUUUCAUUUGGAAUCCAGAUGCAGAGGAGACAAUCCAGUGCCAGCACAUAAAUCCCAUACCUAAAGCUUCCAGAUGGAUCUUAUUUAAGGUGAUUCCCAAACAUCCAAGACAGGGCAGUGACCCUGACUUCAGGAAUGUCUGGUCUUUGGGUGAAUUGCACAGUGAAAAUAUGUGGACAGACUAUUUUCAGUGUGGCAUUUAGCAAAAGGAUUAUUUGGAAUGUAACCCACAUCACCUUGUUUGUGCUGACCUUGUUCUGGAUGGACAUUGCAUCCUCUGAGGCUUCCUAAAAAAAUACAAGGUCCCAACCACUGAAAUGCUAACAUUGCUGCCUUUGAGUGGAAUUUGUGAACCACAGUAGUUACAGAGUAAGAGGCCACUGUUUACCUAAAGGAAUGCCUGAUGUUUUACAUGCAUUCUUAUCAUUGUCACACAUGCUGAAAUACCAUCAAAAAACCACAAGAUAACCAAAUAGUUACAACAACAAAAGUAUGUCACAUUUUUUUCUUCACAGUAUUCUUUUUAAUGGGUCACCCAUGUCGUGUUACAGUACAUCUGCUUUUUGUGCCAUUUCCACUGUUUUAUUGUUGUAAUGUAUAUUUAGAGAAUUCCCCAUGAAACUGCAGCAAAAAGUCUGGGUAGCGGGUGUAGAAAGGGAGGCAUGUUUCAAAGUGACUGACAGGCUGGCGGAAAAAAGAACAUAGCAGGUUUAGUACUUACAAUGAACAUACACCAGCCAAAAGGUAAUAAAUGAAGGUUCCCACUGCUUCAUACAUAUACACAUUUCUUUGGCACAGUACCUGUCACAUUUUUUACCUGGUUGAAAAAAGCACAGAUGUCUCUAAAAAUGCAAUGGUGUAUGCACACAUAUGGCUGUGGAUGUAAUAAUCUAAGCAAGAGGAUCUCAGCUUUGGUUAUAAUAGUACACAUUUUGCCAAUAAUCCUAUUUUCUUGGGGAAUUAUUUAAUAUCUAAAGCCCUAGCCCAUAUAUAGAAGAUUACAUCAUCUAGUAUUUUAUGUAUGUUUAUGACACACAGCUUUAUAUCUUUGUGUCACCGCAUGACCAUAACCCACUACAGUCACUGAGUCUGUGUGUCCAAUAUAUAAAUCAGUGGAUAGGUCAGAAUUUCCUCCCGCUUAAUGCAGAUAAGACAGAUUUCAUUGUUUUUGGUCCCAUAAAUAUAAGGAUAGACAUAAGCCCUGAACUAGAUUAAAUGGAGCUAAAAAACUCAGAGGUUUCAAAAAACUUUGGGAUUGUUUUGGACACAGAUCUAAAUUAUAGCAACCAAAUAAAGACUUUUUCUAAAUCUAUUAAUGUAAAAAUAUUUAAUUUAAAAUGGAUGCUAACAAGUGUGGAGUUUGCAGUAAAUCAUUAGCAAUGUUAGCAUUAAAGGCUCUACUACCUGCUUUUUCUUCCGGAUGUUAGCCUGUAUGAGCUACCGAGCUAUUAGCAGCUACAAGUAGCUCACCAACAUUUUUCAACUUGUUUUUUUUUAUUUUUUUAUUGUUUUUACAGGAAAACAGUAAUAUGACUCAUUUUAAACCUCAUAUUGUAGCUAUCAAAUGUAUUGCUGCUGAAGAGAGCACUAUAGCAGCAACUAUUUACUGAUGGCUGCAACAACAGUUUUCCCCUCUGUAAUCCAUUUUCCCUGAUUAUGCUUCAGAUUAAUAAAAAGCAACUUGAAGCAUG